rnacentral:lncRNA from 1 species
CUAUAAAUCAACUCCCUCUGAGGGAAAAUCAGAGAGCAACUGAGGGAAUUCUACCCAUCGAGCAACUGAGCAAACAUGCACAUUGAGUAGGAAAUGGAGUGGACCUACGUGUUGGUCAUCAGAAUGGAUUAAGAAAAUGUGGUAUAUAUACACAAUGGAAUAUUAUUCAACCAUAAAAAGAAUAAAAUGCAGCAUUUGCAGCAACAUGGAUGAGCCUGGAGGACUUUAUAUCACAGAAAGGAAGCUACCCUGGUCACUCGGAUUCACUGUAUUUAAUUCCUCCAGCCCGAAGUCCCAAAUUUUCUGUUCACUAACCUGGGUUACUUUCACUUUGAGUCUGUGUCAAAUGCGAACUGGAAAAGAGGUAAUAAUCUAAAUAUUCAAGCCAAACACUCACUGUUUUUCAACCAGCUUUGAAAUUUUAGACUUAAUAAUUUGACAUUUUUGAAUUAUAUUAAAAUAGAUAAUGAGCUUUACAGUAUUCUUUGUGUCUAAAUACAGACUUUGUAUGAAAGAGUCCCUGGUGAAGGAAACAAAGAUUUCUUGCAUAACAUAUAAUUGAUUUCAGGAUAUUUUUGGAGAAUAUUUUCAAAGUAAUGCACUUAGUAGCAAAUUAAAUAUUGGACAUAUUUAAUUUUGAGUGCACCUUGAAGUUUUCAGCAAAACCUGUAUCCUCUUAACCUUCUGUCUAAUUAUCCACACAUAGAGUGUUAUUAUUGACAUCUAAAAUAAAGCAGUCAAACAUUUAGGAAUAUCAUCCCAUUUAAUAAUAUCAUCUCAUCCUGUGUGUAUGCCUAAGAAGCAGCUUUCCAGCUAUAAAUAAAUAUAGUAAAAAACACAAAACACCUAACUCGAAGCAAAAGUACUAAAUGAAAUUCUAAACAAUGAUUUCAUGUUUAUUCAUAUCUGCUGCUACUACUCUAAAUGGCUUAAGUAGCCUUUAAAAAUGCAGUGUCCUCUAAGAAUGUUCAUGCUGGAGCAGCCUGUUUCUUCUUACUAGCAGCCAUAUAUGCUGCACGCUCACACCUUGCAGAAAAGCUGUGGCUUCAAACACAUAUGAAUUAUUGCUAGUUACCUAAUGAACUGAAUAAUGUGAUUAGUGUUGAUAAG